GAAAGGAAUAAGUUUUUUGUUGUGGCAUCAACUUCUUAUUCGUGACUCUUCAUGUAUAACUAUAAUUUAAUUUUGAAGAUAACGUCUUUGAGUGUGGCCAAACUCCAAAGGUUUGAUGUGGUGUUGUUUAUAUAUGAGUACUUCUAGCGCUAUAAUACAAGUUUUUUUAAAUAAAUUUUUUGCUUGGAGCCGUUUAUUGAAUAAAUUGUGGUCCAUACAUAUAAAAUGGCCCAUGGCCCAAUAAUAACGAAAAUAAAGAAUACCUAAUUUUGUCCAAUCUCUACUCAUCCUUGGUGAGUACACAAUACUCUUUCAUCAAGUUUCUCCACUGCAUUGUCGAAGAAAAUUCUAGUUGUUCUGCCUCCUCUUUUGAAUCAUUUUUGAGCUCGAGUGGUCUUCAUUUUUACCUGAUGUAGAUCUCGUGUUGUAUCUUUCCCUUGAAACAUUCUAAAGCUCCAUCGGUUCAAGAUGAAACCAUUGAGGAUUGAAAAUGAGGUUGAUUCUAAUAUGAAGAAUGCUAUCGAAUAUAUGUUUAUUACGCCUAGUGCUAUUGAUCAGGGACAAGGAAGAGGGCUUAAAUCUUUGGAUGAGAAGUGAAAUUUACCAUCUAAGAGUAUAUUUCCUCAAUCAAGUGAUCUAUUUGAGAAGCACAUCAAAGAAAUUGAAACAAGUUCUAUAGGGAUUGAACAGGAACAAGGACUUAAAAACUCUACCGUGUCCACUAGUCAAGGAAUACGAAUGACGCAUAAGAACUUAAUGACUUUUGAGAAAGAGAUAGUUAAAAUUAGUACUUCAUCUCCUACAUCUACUAAUAAAGUAAAGAAAUACACCCAAGAAGUUGAAACAAGUAAGAUCUUUUUUCAAAUGUAUUGUAUUUUUUGAAAAUCUAUUGUGUUUUGAUGUUUUUGAGCUUAAAGAUCUUUGCUAGGUUUGUGUUAUUUGACAUGUUUGGCUUUGAUGUAAAUGUCAUAAAGAUACAUCUCCAUCUUCGGUAGAGCUUGUUGAAAAUUUUUGUGGACCUUAAACUCCUAGCCAUGUAUUUGGAUUUGGGGGUGGAGUAAAGGCAAAAGAUUUAAAAGGUGGAACUUCAUCAGAAUCUGAAUUAUUGAAUGUACUACGUUCAACUCCAGAGGAUAUCAAAUCCUUGAACAAAGAAAACAACUGC